GAUGAACGCUGGCGGCGUGCCUAAUACAUGCAAGUCGAGCGAAUGGAUUAAGAGCUUGCUCUUAUGAAGUUAGCGACGGACGGGUGAGUAACACGUGGGUAACCUGCCCAUAAGACUGGGAUAACUCCGGGAAACCGGGGCUAAUACCGGAUAACAUUUUGAACCGCAUGGUUCGAAAUUGAAAGGCGGCUUCGGCUGUCACUUAUGGAUGGACCCGCGUCGCAUUAGCUAGUUGGUGAGGUAACGGCUCACCAAGGCAACGAUGCGUAGCCGACCUGAGAGGGUGGUCGGCCACACUGGGACUGAGACACGGCCCAGACUCCUACGGGAGGCAGCAGUAGGGAAUCUUCCGCAAUGGACGAAAGUCUGACGGAGCAACGCCGCGUGAGUGAUGAAGGCUUUCGGGUCGUAAAACUCUGUUGUUAGAGAAGAACAAGUGCUAGUUGAAUAAGCUGGCACCUUGACGGUACCUAACCGGAAAGCCACGGCUAACUACGUGCCAGCCGCCGCCGUAA
rnacentral:rRNA from 1 species